GGUUAAGCGACUAAGCGUACACGGUGGAUGCCCUGGCAGUCAGAGGCGAUGAAGGGCGUGCUAAUCUGCGAUAAGCGCCGGUAAGGUGAUAUGAACCGUUAUAACCGGCGAUACCCGAAUGGGGAAACCCAGUGUGAYUCGUCACACUAUCAUUAACUGAAUCCAUAGGUUAAUGAGGCGAACCGGGGGAACUGAAACAUCUAAGUACCCCGAGGAAAAGAAAUCAACCACC
rnacentral:rRNA from 1 species